UACGAAGGGGGCUAGCGUUGCUCGGAAUCACUGGGCGUAAAGGGUGCGUAGGCGGGUCUUUUAAGUCAGGGGUGAAAUCCUGGAGCUCAACUCCAGAACUGCCUUUGAUACUGAGGAUCUUGAGUUCGGGAGAGGUGAGUGGAACUGCGAGUGUAGAGGUGAAAUUCGUAGAUAUUCGCAAGAACACCAGUGGCGAAGGCGGCAUCCUGGACCGGUAUUGACGCUGAGGCGCGAAAAGCUAGGGGAGCAAACGGG
rnacentral:rRNA from 1 species